GAUGAACGCUGGCGGCGUGCUUAACACAUGCAAGUCGAACGGAAAGGCCCAAGCUUGCUUGGGUACUCGAGUGGCGAACGGGUGAGUAACACGUGGGUGAUCUGCCCUGCACUUCGGGAUAAGCCUGGGAAACUGGGUCUAAUACCGGAUAGGACGAUGGUUUGGAUGCCAUUGUGGACAGUUUUUUCGGUGUGGGAUGAGCUCGCGGCCUAUCAGCUUGUUGGUGGGGUAAUGGCCUACCAAGGCGUCGACGGGUAGCCGGCCUGAGAGGGUGUACGGCCACAUUGGGACUGAGAUGCGGGCCAGACUGCUACGGGAGGCAGCAGGGGGGAAUAUUGCACAAUGGGCGCAAGCCUGAUGCAGCGAGGCCGCGUGGGGGAUGACGGCCUUCGGGUUGUAAACUCCUUUCGCUAGGGACGAAGCGUUUUUGUGACGGUACCUGGAGAAGAAGCACCGGCUAACUACGUG
rnacentral:rRNA from 1 species